ACGAACGCUGGCGGCGUGCCUAAUACAUGCAAGUAGCACGCUGAAGAGAGGAGCUUGCUCUUCUUGGAUGAGUUGCGAACGGGUGAGUAACGCGUAGGUAACCUGCCUUGUAGCGGGGGAUAACUAUUGGAAACGAUAGCUAAUACCGCAUAACAAUGGAUGACACAUGUCAUUUAUUUGAAAGGGGCAAUUGUUCCACUACAAGAUGGACCUGCGUUGUAUUAGCUAGUAGGUGAGGUAAUGGCUCACCUAGGCGACGAUACAUAGCCGACCUGAGAGGGUGAUCGGCCACACUGGGACUGAGACACGGCCCAGACUCCUACGGGAGGCAGCAGUAGGGAAUCUUCGGCAAUGGGGGCAACCCUGACCGAGCAACGCCGCGGGAGUGAAGAAGGUUUUCGGAUCGUAAAGCUCUGUUGUAAGUCAAGAACGGGUGUGAGAGUGGAAAGUUCACACUGUGACGGUAGCUUACCAGAAAGGGACGGCUAACUACGUG
rnacentral:rRNA from 1 species